CACGUAGGGGGCAAGCGUUUGUCCGGAUUUAUUGGGCGUAAAGAGCUCGUAGGCGGCUCAGUAAGUCAGGUGUGAAACCUCCAGGCUCAACCUGGAGACGCCACCUGAUACUGCUGUGGCUAGAGUCCGGUAGGGGAGCGUGGAAUUCCUGGUGUAGCGGUGAAAUGCGCAGAUAUCAGGAGGAACACCAGCGGCGAAGGCGGCGCUCUGGGCCGGAACUGACGCUGAGGAGCGAAAGCGUGGGUAGCAAACAGG
rnacentral:rRNA from 1 species